AACGAUUGAAUUUUCUAACUCUGAUGUUACCAUUACCAUCAUAAAAAAUUCACAAUGUCAUUAUCAAAUUGUUAUUAUAACAAGUUAUUAUAACAAC